rnacentral:tRNA from 1 species
GGAGGAGCAAAUCGAAUGGCGACGAAAGCUGUCUUGAAAACAGUCGAGCGUGAUGAGCGCCUUGGGAGUUCGACUCUCCCCUCCUCCGCCA